AUCACACAUCUAAUACCUUUUCUUGAACGUAUAUUCCCACACAUAUGAUAUCCUUCCUUAAACGUGUAGAAUACCCUAUCUAAAAUACAUAUUCACAUAGCAACAUAUUCUCAUCAUUCACUAACACAACCAAUCACAUAUGCACAUAGACUCAUUAUCGUAUCACAUAAUAUCAUUCAGUCACAAUCAUGGAAGGAGAUGAUAAUUCACACUAUCAACAUGGACAAAAUCAUAGCUCCUAUAAGUCAUAGUUACAGCCAUAGUUAUGAUUCACAUCAUCCCCUUCACACUAUCAACAUGGACAAAAUCAUAGCUCCCACAAAUUAUAGUUACAGCCAUAGUUAUGAUUCAAAUCGUCCCCCAAGGACACCAUCAUAGUUAUAGUCAUAGUUACUAUUAACAUCAUCCCUAAGGAGUUAGUCAUAGUUACAAUCAUAGUUACGAUUUACAUCAUCUUACAAGGACACAAUCAUAGUUACAGUCAUAUUUACGAUUCACAUCGUCACCCAGGGACACAGUCAUAGUUAUAGUCAAUAAAUGAUCAAUGAGAUAGAGUUCAUAAUCAUUCCAUAUUGAUCCUGAACUGCAUAUAUAUUCACUUUUCAAUGAUACAAAAAAUCUAAACUGCUAAUCCUAAGUAUUCUCUAUGAUAUUUUACAUCAUAUAAUACCUUGGCAUUUCUACUUAAUUCAUCCUCAUUCUAUUCUUGUGGGGAGUUUUAAUUUCAUACUUAUUCAAGCGUAAAUU
rnacentral:lncRNA from 1 species